AGCGAACGCUGGCGGCAGGCCUAACACAUGCAAGUCGAACGAAGUCUUCGGGGUUAGUGGCGGACGGGUGAGUAACACGUGGGAACGUGCCUUUAGGUUCGGAAUAACUCAGGGAAACUUGUGCUAAUACCGAAUGUGCCCUUCGGGGGAAAGAUUUAUCGCCUUUAGAGCGGCCCGCGUCUGAUUAGCUAGUUGGUGAGGUAAUGGCUCACCAAGGCUACGAUCAGUAGCUGGUCUGAGAGGAUGACCAGCCACAUUGGGACUGAGACACGGCCCAAACUCCUACGGGAGGCAGCAGUGGGGAAUCUUGCGCAAUGGGCGAAAGCCUGACGCAGCCAUGCCGCGUGGAUGAUGAAGGUCUUAGGAUUGUAAAAUCCUUUCACCGGUGAAGAUAAUGACUGUAGCCGGAGAAGAAGCCCCGGCUAACUUCGUGCCAGCCGCCGCAGUAAGAC
rnacentral:rRNA from 1 species